rnacentral:lncRNA from 1 species
AUGAAUGUUCAUAAUAUACAGAUAAGCGCUAAAAUUAUUCAUGUGUCAUUAAAAUAAAUAGAGAACAAACAAACAAAAAAAAGGAUUUUUUUUGUGGAAAAAGGAGGAGCCGGGCUAGAAAAACAAUUAUCCUGUCCCAAAUUACCUAUGACUUUUGAUACCUUUUCUGAAAUUCUCAAGUCACUAAAUGUUUUACAAAAAAAAGAAGAUGUGGUAUGAAUGCCAAUGAGACAGCUCUCCACAAGAGACCAAAAUGACACCGGAAUUAAUAUUUAAAGGUCACC